GGUAACGCGGGGCAACCUGGCGACGAGUGGCGAACGGGUGAGUAAUACAUCGGAACGUGCCCAGUAGUGGGGGAUAGCCCGGCGAAAGCCGGAUUAAUACCGCAUACGACCUACGGGUGAAAGCAGGGGAUCGCAAGACCUUGCGCUAUUGGAGCGGCCGAUGUCAGAUUAGGUUGUUGGUGGGGUAAAAGCCUACCAAGCCGACGAUCUGUAGCUGGUCUGAGAGGACGACCAGCCACACUGGGACUGAGACACGGCCCAGACUCCUACGGGAGGCAGCAGUGGGGAAUUUUGGACAAUGGGCGCAAGCCUGAUCCAGCCAUGCCGCGUGCGGGAAGAAGGCCUUCGGGUUGUAAACCGCUUUUGUCAGGGAAGAAACGCUCCGGGCUAAUACCCUGGGGUAAUGACGGUACCUGAAGAAUAAGCACCGGCUAACUACGUGCCAGCAGCCGCGGUAAUACGUAGGGUGCGAGCGUUAAUCGGAAUUACUGGGCGUAAAGCGUGCGCAGGCGGUUUUGAAAGUCAGAUGUGAAAUCCCCGAGCUCAACUUGGGAACUGCGUUUGAAACUCCAAAACUCGAAUAUGUCAGAGGGGGGUAGAAUUCCACGUGUAGCAGUGAAAUGCGUAGAGAUGUGGAGGAAUACCAAUGGCGAAGGCAGCCCCCUGGGAUAAUAUUGACGCUCAUGCACGAAAGCGUGGGGAGCAAACAUGAUUAGAUACCCUGGUAGUCCACGCCCUAAACGAUGUCUACUAGUUGUUGGUGGAGUAAAAUCCAUGAGUAACGCAGCUAACGCGUGAAGU
rnacentral:rRNA from 1 species